CGGGACGGGUGAGUAAUGUCUGGGAAAUCGCCCGAUGGAGGGGGAUAACUACUGGAAACGGUAGCUAAUACCGCAUAACGUCGCAAGACCAAAGAGGGGGACCUUAGGGCCUCUUGCCAUCGGAUGUGCCCAGAUGGGAUUAGCUAGUAGGUGGGGUAACGGCUCACCUAGGCGACGAUCCCUAGCUGGUCUGAGAGGAUGACCAGCCACACUGGAACUGAGACACGGUCCAG
rnacentral:rRNA from 1 species